CCCAGACUCCUACGGGAGGCAGCAGUGGGGGAUAUUGCACAAUGGGGGGAACCCUGAUGCAGCGACGCCGCGUGGGUGAAGGAGCGUUUCGGCGCGUAAAGCCCUAUCGGCAGGGAAGAAGGAGGACGGUACCUGACUAAGAAGCCCCGGCUAACUACGUGCCAGCAGCCGCGGUAAUACGUAGGGGGCAAGCGUUAUCCGGAUUUACUGGGUGUAAAGGGGGCGCAGACGGCAGCGCAAGCCAGGAGUGAAAGCCCGGGGCCCAACCCCGGGACUGCUCUUGGAACUGCGCGGCUGGAGUGCAGGAGGGGCAGGCGGAAUUCCUGGUGUAGCGGUGAAAUGCGUAGAUAUCAGGAGGAGCACCGGUGGCGAAGGCGGCCUGCUGGACUGCGACUGACGUUGAGGCCCGAAAGCGUGGGGAGCAAACAGGAUUAGAUACCCUAGUAA
rnacentral:rRNA from 1 species